AAAAAUUUAAAAGUUUAUUAAGUAAAAAAGUUACAGUAAGCCAAGUUUAUUAUUGAAGAAAGAAUUUGUAAAUACAUGUAGUGUAUCCUAAGUACACAGUGUUUAUAAAGUCUGCAGUAACAGCAUUGUCCUCGGCCUUCACAUUUACUCAUAACUCACUCACUGAGUCACCCAGAACAACAUCCAGUUCUGCAAGCUCCAUCCAUGACAAAAUCCAUUAAAAUGACAGAAGAAUAAAUCUGUGGUAAUACAGAAAUGCUGCUGUCAAGAAACCUAAAAUGGAAAAAGUCCUUGAAAGUAGAAAACAAGUGGUAACAGAUCAACCAUGAAACCCAACAUAGUUGAAGAGAAAGACAGGCUCUCUGCAAAAAGUGAAUUUUCCAGUAGAACCAAAGAGUAACCUCAAGAUCAAGAAUCAUGGAUCUUGAAGUAGCAGUGAGCCAUCUACCAGUAGAUCAUAAUUAAUUUAAAGACUAGAAUUUUUUUAGUCUUCCCAAUCUUAGUUUCUGGUUCCAAUGUUUGCUGCCAAAAGUAAACCAUGACUAGAGCUCUCUAAAUAGUAACAUUGGCUGAAAUACAUUCUCAGAAUUAAAAGUGAGAAUCAGAAGAAAAGCAGGCAAUCACCAGGAUGAGCAAGGCACCAGCAAGAGGGCAAACUCUCUGGGCAUCAAAAAACCAGCAACAUUUUUGGUACCCACAAACUGGAGACAGCACUUUCUGUGACAUUCCUUAUCAGGGGAGUAGAGGUUUUCAUUUAUGUUAGAAAGAUUGUAUGCAGUUAACAGCAUUAUAAAUAUGACUCUACUAAAGAUCACCAAGAAUUUGAGGAAAAUCAACACCAUUCUGAACAAACCAACUACUCACUAGUGAAAAUGUUGAUGCCAAAAGUAUAAGAAAACUUUAAAAUGAGUAAUGUUAAUAACCUCAGAAAAAUUCAAAGGAAUAAAAUACCCAUAAAAUAAAAACAUGCAGCUAUGAAAAAGGAAGCAAUUAAGUCCUUGAAAUUAAAAGUAUGAAGAUGAAAAGUUUUUAAAAACUCAGCAGCAGGGCUGAAUUACAGGAUGUUUCUCACUAUUUUUCUAUUGUCUUUCAUGUUGAAUAAAGUUUCAUCUUAAGGCUAUAAAUGGUGGUUCUUCAACCAGUUCCAGGCUCUUUCCUCAUAGUCAA
rnacentral:lncRNA from 1 species